rnacentral:lncRNA from 1 species
UUCGUAAGUGGCGAUGGAGCCAAGGCCGGAGAUUUCACUUUUGUGCUUGGAGCUGGCGCUGGAACCGCUGCUGGUGGAGAGGCGAGAGGAGCCGGUGGAGGAGUUGCGGGAGGAGGAGUUGCAGGUGGAGGAGUGGCCGGUGGGGGAGUGGCCGGUGGUGGAGUAGCCGGUGGAGGAGUGGCGGGCGGAGGGGUGGCCGGUGGAGGUGUUGCUGGUGGAGGGGUUGCUGGUGGAGGAGUGGCUGGUGGAGGAGUGGCCGGUGGUGGAGUGGCUGGGGGUGGAGUGGCCGGUGGUGGAGUGGCAGGCGGAGGAGUAGCCGGUGGCGGGGCUGAUACCGGAGGAGGAGACGAGGCGGGAGGAGAUGUAACAGCAGUUGGUGGUGACGCGGCGGGAGUUGUGGGGGUAGGAGGAGCUGGAGUGGCGGUGGGCCCUCCAGCGGGAGCCUGACCUCCAACGCCGGCGAAGACAAUGCAGACCAAUCCAAGAACAAGCAAACUCUUGCAAUCCAUCGUGUUAAGCUGCGCACACUGACACCCAAUCCUAUGCACAAUGGGACUGCAAGCAGAGGGAGUGAGACAGAGAGAGAAGUGGAGAAUGGAGAUUAUAAAUAGGCAGUUUGUAUGAGGGUGUUGCGGGGUUCCGAUGAAACCGGCCACAUGGAAGUGCCACCUGGCGCUACCGAACAAAUCUUCACCGCUCUUUCUCCUCACCAUCACAGUCUGUCAAGCGGGUCCCCUGUGCAUGUGAUAUUUUGGGACAAUUUUAUCCAUCUGUAUGCCACGUCAUCUGCCACCUCCUCCAAUUAUUUUGUCCUCUGUUUAAACUAUUUUAAUCAUUUUAUUUUGUCUGCCCACUUAAAAAUGUUAAACAGUAAGUUCAAAUUUGAUACUUAAUUAAAGUAACUCUAAUACUACCACAUAGGAGUCUGUCUACAUAUUCUUUGUUUUUCACUCGUGAGUAAUAACUAAUAACUGAGUGGCUCCUUCAAAAACGCUAUUUGCAAUGACUUUAAGUCAAAAUAAAAGUUUACCUGCAAAUAAGUCACAUUAAGUUUAUUAAGAUCUAUCAACUAUAAAUUAAAUUAAAUUAAAUUAGACUGAAAUGUAGUCUGAAUAGUACACGAAAAUUAAGGGGCAUGGUGGAAUGGAGUUUGAAGACGAGCCAACAACCAGUAGGCUAGAAAAGUAAGUACACAAGUAAUGGGCUUUAAGUAUGACCAUUAAGAAUUGGGUGGAUUGGAUUAUUAGGCGGUGGGUCCAGGCUGGAAAUGAACCCAAAUAUAGCUGGUGUUCAUAUCACCUAACUGUGGGUGGGCCCUAGGUCGUCUGCUGUUGUUACGCCGAGAUGUGUGCCUUUCAAGCCAAAUCUCUGUGCUGUAAGCCAGAACUUCCAUGGAGAGAAAAUUUUUGAGGACACGGAAGAAGGAAAAAAAUGAAAACGAAAAAGGGAAAAAGAGAAAAGCUAGAGUGGCAACGGAGUCCUGGGAUAAUGGCUUGGUUCUGUGGUGGGCCCAGGAGCAAAAGAGUGAUGAUUGGAACUAGCUCACGUGUCAGGUUCCUAGUGGGUCACGUGAGCGUAGAAGUGACGGGUCAGUGGAAAUUAGAAUCAUGCCUUUGCUUCAAAACCAAUUCUGUUUUUAGGUCUUCCCAAGUCGUCGAUAGGCUGGGCUUCUGUAGUAAUUGUCCUUCCUAGCUACACCUGCUUUUGUACUAAUUUAUCAAAAAUAAAUAAAAUUUCAAAUGCUUUAUGCCCAGGGGACAUAUAUAUAUAUAUAUAUAUUUUAAAUUAGGAAUAUGUUUUUAAAAAUUAUUAUUGUAUUCAGCAAAAUAAAAUAACUUGAUAAUUAGAAAAUAAAAAAUUAUUUUUUAUUAUUAAAAAUAAAAAAUAUAAUAUUUUAAAAAAACAUUUUUUUAUUUUCAUUUUUUUCUAUUUUCUUACUUAUUUUUAAAAAUAAUUAUAUAAAUAUAAAAAAUAUUAUAAAUAAAAUAUUAUAUAUAAUAAUUAUUUUUAAAAUACAUUCCAAAACAUAAAAAAAUAAUUUAAUAAUGUCUGAGGCCUCGUGCAGCUUUUACCCUGUUUUAACAACGUUAUUAAAAAAUGAUUAUCAAAAAUUAUAUUUUAAAACGGUUUUUGGAACACUUUUUCAAAAAAAAAAACCUAUUCCUUUAUAUAACUAUUUUUUAAAACAAUUUUAAAAAAUAAUUUUUAAAAAUAAUUUUAUGAUAUUUUGUAAAAGGAAAUGAUUAGUUUUACAACUCUUUUAUAUAAGAGUUUUUAUUCUCAAGAAUAAAAGAACAAGAAAACGUUUUAUAACUAAAAAACUGUUUUUUAUUUUUUAUUAUUAAUAAUAAAAAAUAUGGUGUUUUUAAAUAAUAUAUUUUAGUUAUUUUCAAUUAUUUUUAUUUACUUUUUUAUAACAGUUUUAAGAAAUGAUUAUAUAAAUAUAUAAAUUAUUAAAAAUAAAACAGUAAAUAUAAAAUUUAUUUUUAAAACUAUUAAAAAUAGGUGAAAAAUAUUUUAAGUUCUUGAACAUUUUCAUUUUACAAAAUAUCAUAGAACAAAUUUAAAAAACUGCUCUCAAAAUUGUUUUUAAGAACUCUUUUUAAAAGCAGUUAUUAAACAUUUUGUUUUGAAACUUAAAAUAUUUUUAACCUAUUUUUAAUAUUUUUAAACAUAUUCUAAAAAUAAUCAUUCUAUAUCUUCGUAUAAUUAUUUUUUUAAACAAGCCUUCAUAGAACAAGCGAAAAUAAUAAAAAAUAUUCUCUAAAAAUAUUUUGUUUUCUAUUCUUAAAAAUAAAAAAUAAAAAAUAAUUUUCCAUUAUCAAAAAGUGUUUUUGUUUUUUAGAGAAUAGAAAAUAUUUUAUUAUUUAAUAUUUGAAGAAAUGGAAGGGAAACAAUAAUUACUUAAAAGGAACAUUUAAAGGAGCUUGGUUGGAAGGAAUAAUGGAGGUUGUUGAAAAGAAUCAUAUUGCAUGAUUAUGCUUUAAUCAUAUAUGAUGGGGUUGAGGAUAUCUUAAUCUAAAGUAAGAAAAGAAUUGUUAUAAUAUUUUUUUAAGAAAGGGGAAAAUUAAUGAUUUUUCUUUUCUUCAAACAAACGUCCAUCAAAUGAUCUUAGAAAAGUGAUGCUCAUGAUUUCGUAACUGCUAAUUCUUCUAUGGACCCAUUUUUCCAAAAUACAAUUUAGAAUACUAAUUAUACACCGUGUCUCAUAAAAAAAUAUAUAAAAAAAAAAUGAAAUAGAAUAUAUAAUAUUACUGAUAUUAUAAUAAUUAAAAAUUAAAAAUUAAAAAAAAAAAUUAAGGGGGGAAAGCCUCAUUAAUGAGGAAGGAUGAAUGGAUGAUGGGAAUAAUGUGUUGGGGACAGCUAAUUCAAAAAGGAGUGGUCCCCCCUGCAACGUAUACCAAAAGAAAUGGGCCCUUUGUUGGUUUAACGGUCAUUUUUUUCCCUGAUUUAAAUGAUGUUACAUCCUAUCAUCCUCACAUGCUUUUAUAUUUUUCCCUCAAUUAUUAUUAUUUUAUUUUUACCUUUUGUUUUUUUUUUCUUUUCUAAAGUUUUAUUAUGAUUUUCCUGAUGAUUUGGCUACUUUUAUGGAGUUUUGGUCAAAAUAGCUCUUUUAUGUAAAAGAAAAAAAAAAUUAAACUGCUUUAUCAAAUUUAUAUUUAAAAUAACUUUUUUAUUAUCGGAUAGUAGUUAUAUCAUUAAAAACAUAUUUUUUAAAAGUUAAAUUGAAGUCUUAAUUAUUAACAAAAACUUUAAUUAAAAAAUAAAACCCCAAAUAAUAAUUAUAACUAUAUUUUAAAAUUGAAACCUCAAUUUUCAAUUGAAACUUUAUUUUUAUAGAAGGAUGAUGUGAUGACGGAAAAAAGACCACAUUGAAUAUAAGCUUUAAAAAAGCUUAAAACAUUUUUUAUUGUCUGCCCACUUCGACACAAAAAUAAAUAAAUUAGGAGCAUCCUUAAUGAAGAUAUUUAUUGAUUUUUUUAAAAAAAUAUAGGAAUGAAAAUGAUUUUAAAAAACUAGGCCAUACUCACUAAUCUAAUAUUUAAAUGUAAAAAUUAUAUUGUAAGAAAAUUUGAAAAAAAAUUAAUAACUUUUUUAUUUUCCUAUUUUUUUAAUAGAAAAAUUAAAUAUGACUCAAGACUAUGUUUGAAAGAACAGAAAAAAAAACAAAAACAAAAAAUUAAAUUAAAAUAAAAAUAUAUUUAAUUUUUUAAUUAAUUUAAAUUAUAUUUGACUUUGUUUUCAUAUAUUUUUUUAUUAAAACAAAAAAUGAUUAAAUCAUUUCUUAACAUGUCAAAUUGUCAUUCAUUUUCUCUUUCUUCUUCCCAUUUUUAUUAAAUCAAUUAUUCCAAAAAAAUUAUUUUUGGGUGAACAUCAAGAAUCUCUAUCAAUGGAGAUUACUAUCCACCAUGGUAAAAAGAUGAUUACCAGAAAAACAAACCAAUUUUCAAAUCGAAUUCGGUUAUGGUGGGAUCAAACUUAACUUGUAAUCAUACUCAAGACACGUUAUUUAAUUGGUGUUUUAUGUCACAAGUUACUUAGUUAGGCCGUCACAGGAGAAAGUCAAACGAAAUAUUCAUAUUCUUACAUGCUUAGUUAGAUGGUUAUAACUUAAUACUCACAUGUUGCGUGACAAUGGACUAUGCGAUUUGACAUGAAAUAAAAGUUUUUGAUUUUAUGUAAAAGGGACAUGCUAGGAUUGAUAAAUGUAAACUGCCAUAUAAUGUGGCUUAGAGUGGGUGGCAUGAUGUUACCUUUGGGUGCAGACAUGCCAACUGUUUGAGUGUUGUUGCAUGAUUCAUGACCCUCUUGGUGGUUUCUGAGGUUGUUGGCUAGGAUGAUGGACUUAGGGCCUACGGAAUCCUCCACCAACACAAGGAAGAUGAACUGUUUUUCUAGAUUCAUGUGUAUGAUAGGUAAAUUGUUACUAAAUUAAAAACAUUUUUAUCGUAUUUUGUUUGAAUAAGCUUAUUUUAAUUUUUGUUAUUAUAUAAAUGGAAACUCUUGAGGGAAAGAUUGGCCAAAUGGAUAUUUUUAUUAUUUUUGUCACAAAUAUGAAAAAAAUAUGAAAAGGAUAAUCAGAGAACUUUGAACUUUUAUUAUAUUUAAUUCUAUUAAAGCAACGAGUUUAUAUUCCAUUUGUCAAGAAGUAUAUAUAUAUGUUGAACUCAAAUCCUGAAAGUUUAAACUUUUAGGAAAAUUGGUAGUUCAACAUGGUAUUAGAGCCGAAGUCGUGGGUUCGAAUCCCUGAGGGGGUGUCAUAAGGGGAGAUUAUUUGACAAAUUGGAGGGUUAAUCGCGUCUAUCAACUCCUCUUACGUUCGAAUAUAAAGUUAAGGUAUCUUUUGACAUCAAUUGUUUUUAGGUUUUAAAAAAGUCUAAUAUGCAUAUUAAACCAAAAUUUUACAAGUUUAAGCUUUUAGAAAAGUUGGUAGUUCAACACCUUUAAUUACUAAAAUAUUGAAAAUUUGAAUGUAGAGUUGCCAUUUAUAUUAGAUUAGUGAUUAAUAGAUGUUUUAUUUACUAAGAUAUUCCAUUAUCGAUGGAUUUGGCCGUGGCUAGCCUUCUAAUUUGCUUAACUCGUCUAAAUUUCACCCCUAUUCAUGUGUGAUCUUCCUUAAACUUGCAAUUGAAUUAAAUAAAUUAAGAGUAAUAAACAAACAAUAAAAUUUGAAAUUCCUUUAAUUUGAUUUGAUUGAUUUGUGAAACUAUCUUGAGGGAGGUAAAUAAGUAGUCUUCAUUCUUAAAGCUCAUUAUUCAAAUUUUAAAAUAAUUACUAACUAUUUUGAUCAAUUCACAACAUGAGGGAUAUGAAUAGCAAGAAGAUUGACGCAUGUGAAAAUCACCUAUAAAAUCUUAUGGAAACCUUGCAAAUCUAGAAACAUGUUUAGUGAAUGUAAAGCAAAUUUAAUAAAUAUGAGAAACAAGUUUUUAGUUUUCCUUGGAUCAAACACUAUCUACUCUCUUCGAGCUUCGAUUGUGUUGAUGAUUUCACUAAUUCAAUGCUUUUAAAUAACAAAUCUCCAAAUUCUUUGUACUUAUAUUUUCAUUCCAAUGAACUCUCACAACAAAAUUGUUAAAGACAAAGUCUCUAAAUUUCACAAUUAGAUUAUGGUUCUUAUGAACCUUUUGAAGAUAUCACAAUACUCUUAAACUCCCAAAGUGACCCCAUAUUUGACAAACCUCACAAGGAUUACAAAUUAAAAAAGAAUACGAUCUUAGAUCCCAAUUUUGGGACAAAUGGAUUCAAACAAAUUAGGGUUUAGGUUCAUUAAGAUGAAACACAUGUAACACCCCAAAAUUAACUAUAGGGGUAAAAUAGUAAAUUAUAAAGUAAUUAAUUAAUUAAAUAAACUCAUUAAAGGUAAAAGAGUCAUUUUACAAUUAAUAAUCCUAGGUAUAAAUUAUUUUUUUCUUGCCUUUUUUAUUCAGAAAACCUUAUUAACCAAAAUUAGAGAAUUGGAUAUCUAGGGCUGAAGGUU